CAUACCUAUUCGAAGGGAUAGGGUCGGUUUGGCCGGAUUUCACACAGGUGUUGCAUGGCUGUCGUCAGCUCGUGUCAUGAGAUGUUGGGUUAAGUCCCGCAACGAGCGCAACCCUCAUCCUUAGUUACCAUCAGGUUAUGCUGGGGACUUUAAGGAAACUGCCAGUGAUAAACUGGAGGAAGGUGGGGAUGAUGUCAAGUCAUCAUGGCCCUUAUGGAGUGGGCUACACACGUGCUACAAUGGUGAUUACAAUGGGCUGCAAGGUCGCAAGGCUGAGCUAAUCCUAAAAAAUCAUCUCAGUUCGGAUUGUUCUCUGCAACUCGAGAGCAUGAAGUUGGAAUCGCUAGUAAUCGUGGAUCAGCAUGCCACGGUGAAUACGUUCUCGGGUCUUGUACACACUGCCCGUCACACCAUGGGAAUUGGUUUCACUCGAAGCU
rnacentral:rRNA from 1 species